rnacentral:rRNA from 1 species
AGUGAACGCUGGCGGUAGGCCUAACACAUGCAAGUCGAACGGCAGCACAGUAAGAGCUUGCUCUUACGGGUGGCGAGUGGCGGACGGGUGAGGAAUACAUCGGAAUCUACUUUUUCGUGGGGGAUAACGUAGGGAAACUUACGCUAAUACCGCAUACGACCUACGGGUGAAAGCAGGGGAUCUUCGGACCUUGCGCGAUUGAAUGAGCCGAUGUCGGAUUAGCUAGUUGGCGGGGUAAAGGCCCACCAAGGCGACGAUCCGUAGCUGGUCUGAGAGGAUGAUCAGCCACACUGGAACUGAGAAAGGGCCCAGCCUCCUAGGGGAGGCAGCAGUGGGAAAUAUUGACAAUGGGCGCAAGCCUGAUCCAGCCAUACCGCGUGGGUGAAGAAGGCCUUCGGGUUGUAAAGCCCUUUUGUUGGGAAAGAAAAGCAGCAGGUUAAUACCCCGCUGUUCUGACGGUACCCAAAGAAUAAGCACCGGCUAACUUCGUG